rnacentral:lncRNA from 1 species
CCCACACUCAGGGUGAGAGGGAGAUUCUGAAGCUUUGUGUUUCUUGCUAGCUAGUCAAAGGUGACUAAUUCAUGUGGAUAGAAAAAUAAUACAUGCCAAAAGAAAUUUGAGGAACAAAUUCAGCCCUGAGACAGGUCACGGAAACAGCCCUCCAGUCUUCCUCAAGAAAUGUAGACUGAAUCAGCAUUUACCCACCCCUGGAAAAACGCAGGAGCUGCGCAUUCCUGGGAUCUCAGCAGGGCUUUUGGGAAGAGCAGAACUGGGCUGGAGUCACGGUUUCUGGGCUGACUCUAGAUUUUCCCCGGCUUUUGCCACCUGUGAUGGCUGGAGAGUAUCUGAAGAUGACAGCCAGUGUCCUUAGCUUGUGAAGAUUGGAUGAUGGCCGGGGCCCUCAGACCCCUUGGCCCCUCCUUAACUGCAGGUCUUCAAAAGCCCAACACCUGUUCGUCAUUUCUGUGGCUUCCCAGGGAGUCUUACUCUUCUGCUUCAAGCUGCUGGGUUUGACUCUGAGCAGUUUCUGUGCAGCCACAAAGAUUCUUAUGUGAGACACACUGCUGCUUCAGAGUGCUCCAACCCAUCUCCCCUGAUUAAACACUAACCAGGGCUGCCACAGCAAAGUGGCUCAAAUGGGUGACGUCAACAACAGAUUUACUUUCUCAUAGUUCUGGAGGCAGGUGUCUAGGAUCAAGGUGGUGGCAAGGCUAUUCCUUCUGUUGCCUCCCUCCUUGCCUUGUGGAUGACCGUCUUCUCCGCGUCUUUCCAAGAUCUCUCCUCUGUGCAUGUCAGUGUCCUUGCUUCCUCUUCUUAUGAAGACACCGGUCAUGUUGGAAUGCAACAGAAGAGAGUGCACGGCUUCUGAGGUUGCAGCUUUUGGGAGAAGCCAUCUACCAUUGAUGACAGACAUGCCGUGUGGAAACCAAACCAGCCAUGUGGAGAGGCUACCUGGACAGAGGCACAGGGCCAGCAGCAGCUGUGGAGACAGACAUGUGAGCAAAGAAAUCAUCUUUGAUGUACAGCCAAGUUGAGCCUUCAGAUGACUCCGAUUUCAGCCACCUUUGGACUGCAACCACAUGAAAGACUCUAAAUAGAAGCCUCCCAGCUGAUCCCGGUUAACCCACAGUGCUGAAGGGGAUAAUAAUAAAUUG